GCCAACCUAGCUCAAUGGUAGAGCACAGCUUUCGUAAAGCUGAGGUUGUGGGUUCGAGUCCCACGGUUGGCU
rnacentral:tRNA from 1 species